rnacentral:rRNA from 1 species
AAGGGCACCACAAGAACGCGUGGAGCAUGUGGCUUAAUUUGACUCAACGCGGGAAAUCUUACCGGGUCCGGACACACUGAGGAUUGACAGGCAAUAUUAAUUUCUGCCAUUCGUGGCGUUUUUAUGUUAAAUAUGCUAGUCCUUUCAUGAUUAUGUGAUAGGUGGUGCAUGGCCGUUCUUAGUUCGUGGAGUGAUCUGUCUGCUUAAUUGCGUUUCACUAAGGGCCUAUAAUUUAACGUGUGUUGCGGCACUUUGACCCCUCCUCGCGGAGCGUGUGUCUUAGCUUGUUUAGCUCACACAAUUAGGUCCUGAAAGCAACGAACGUGACCGCAACCUCUUGUUGCCUUUAUACCAAACACGUUUUGUUACUCUUCACAGAGUAUUGCAUUUCGUGAAAAAAGGCUUUUUAAACUAGAGGGACCGCUGUUACUUUCUUAAACCAGAGGAAGGUUGCGGCAAUAACAGGUCUGUGAUGCCCUUAGAUGUUCCGGGCUGCACACGUGCUACAAUGAUUAUUGCAGUGAGCAUCUCAUUUUUUACACACCGCAUUCACGAGUCCAUUUAUUCAUUCCUUCGGGUUUGCUUUAAAUGUGCAUCUCUGUGAGCGGUAAAGCCUGCUUCGAAAGUAAAUGGGUAAUCAAUUAGAAGUAAUGAUUUCCUUUUUUUCAGCACACAUAUAUACGGCGUUUAUACCCGGGCUGCCCUUGUUGAUAGCUUUUGUGUGUAUAGAUGUUUUUUCCGUAUGUGCAAUUGUCAAUUCAUGGUGGGGACAGACCAUUGUUAAUUGUUGGUCUCGGUCUUAACUAGGAAUGCCUUGUACGGGUCUUUGGUUCAACAAACCACCCGGAAUACGUCCCUGCCCUUUGUACACACCGCCCGUCGCUCUUACCGAUGGACUUCUCUGUGAGUUUGAGGGACUGGGAACGCAGCGUAAUUUAUUUUGCACUGCACACCUAUGGAAACUUAAACGAACAGUGUGGUCUAAAGGAAAGAGAAGUCGAACAAGGCA